rnacentral:rRNA from 2 species
ACGGGGUGCAGCAGGCGCGAAACCUUUGCAAUGUGCGCAAGCACGACAAGGUUAAUCCGAGUGUUUCCUGCUAAAGGAAUCUUUUGUUAGUCGUAAAACCACUGAUGAAUAAGGGGUGGGCAAGUUCUGGUGUCAGCCGCCGCGGUAAAACCAGCACCUCAAGUGGUCAGGAGGAUUAUCGGGCCUAAAGCAUCCGUAGCCGGCUCUGCAAGUUUUCGGUUAAAUCCAUUUGCUUAACAAAUGGGCUGCCGAAAAUACUACAUAGCUAGGGAGUGGGAGAGGUAGACGGUAUUCGGUAGGAAGGGGUAAAAUCCUUUGAUCUAUUGAGGACCACCUAUGGCGAAGGCAGUCUACCAGAACACGUUCGACGGUGAGGGAUGAAAGCUGGGGGAGCAAACCGGAUUAGACACCCGGGUAGUCCCAGCUGUAAACGAUGCAGACUCGGUGAUGCACUGGCUUGUGGCCAGUGCAGUGCCGCAGGGAAGCCGUUAAGUUUGCCGCCUGGGAAGUACGUACGCAAGUAUGAAACUUAAAGGAAUUGGCGGGGGAGCAC